rnacentral:misc_RNA from 1 species
GGAAGGAUCAUUAUCAAGAGUGUAUGACCCCUUUAUAAAAUAGUGGGGUUAACCUCCCGUCCUUUGAAGGUCCCUCUUUUGUUGAGGGUAAUUUGAACCCUUCUGCUUCGGUGGGUUUACUCACCGGAACAACCUCAAAAUUCUUGUUCAACAGUUCAGUCCGAGUGGUAUAUUUUAAAUUUUGAAAAACUUUCAACAACGGAUCUCUUGGUUCUGGCAUCGAUGAAGAACGCAGCGAAAUGCGAUAAGUAAUGUGAAUUGCAGAAUUCAGUGAAUCAUCGAAUCUUUGAACGCAUAUUGCACCCUCUGGUAUUCCGGAGGGUACACCUGUUUGAGCGCCAUUUCGAACUUCAAGCAUUAGCUUGGUGUUGGGUAAAGUUCUUAGAAAGUAAAAGGGACUUACCCUUAACUCGUAGGAGGUCAUGACUCACUUCUCCCAGCGUAGCAAGCUUACGCACCUCGCUCGGGGAUAGGAGGUUUGAUCACCCUUAAUGACAAUUGUUUGGCCUCAAAUCAGGUGGGGAUACCCGCUGAACUUAAGCAUAUCAAUAAGCGGAGGAAAAGAAACCAACAGGGAUUGCCUCAGUAACGGCGAGUGAAGCGGCAAUUGCUCAAAUUUAAAAUCUGACUUCCUUUGGGGGUCCGAAUUGUAAUUUGUAGAGGAAGCUUCGGUGAGAAUAUUGACUUAAGUCCCCUGGAACGGGAUGUCAUAGAGGGUGAGAACCCCGUCUUGUCAAAUAUUCAAACCAAUGUGUUGCUCCUUCGACGAGUCGAGUUGUUUGGGAAUGCAGCUCAAAAUGGGUGGUAAAUUCCAUCUAAGGCUAAAUAUUGGCCAGAGACCGAUAGCGCACAAGUAGAGUGAUCGAAAGAUGAAAAGCACUUUGAAAAGAGAGUUAAAAAGCACGUGAAAUUGUUGAAAGGGAAGCGCUUGCGGUCAGAAUUUUAUCAUAGUUGUUCAACCGAUCAUUGAUCGGCUCAUUCUUCUAUGAUAAGGCCAACAUCAGUUUGAAUGAUCGUAUAAAGGCCCUAAGAAUGUGACCCUUUUUUUAGGGUGUUAUAGCUUUGGGUAUAAUGUGAUCAAUUUAGACUGAGGGAAGCGAAAUUUUCCAGGAUGUUGGCAUAAUGGUUGCAAGCGGCCCGUCUUGAAACACGGACCAAGGAGUCUAACAUUCACGCGAGUGUUUGAGUGUAAAACUCAUAACGCGAAAUGAAAGUGAACGGAGGUGGGAACCUUUGGGUGCACCAUCGACCGAUCCUGAUGUUUUCGGAAGGAUUUGAGUAAGAGCAUAGCUGUUGGGACCCGAAAGAUGGUGAACUAUGCGUGAAUAGGGUGAAGCCAGAGGAAACUCUGGUGGAGGCUCGCAGCGGUUCUGACGUGCAAAUCGAUCGUCAAAUUUGCGUAUAGGGGCGAAAGACUAAUCGAACCAUCUAGUAGCUGGUUCCUGC